rnacentral:rRNA from 1 species
GAUGAACGCUGGCGGCGUGCCUAAUACAUGCAAGUCGAGCGAAUGGAUAAAGAGCUUGCUCUUAUGAAGUUAGCGGCGGACGGGUGAGUAACACGUGGGUAACCUGCCCAUAAGACUGGGAUAACUCCGGGAAACCGGGGCUAAUACCGGAUAACAUUUUGAACCGCAUGGUUCGAAAUUGAAAGGCGGCUUCGGCUGUCACUUAUGGAUGGACCCGCGUCGCAUUAGCUAGUUGGUGAGGUAACGGCUAACCAAGGCAACGAUGCGUAGCCGACCUGGUAGGGUGAGCGGCCACACUGGGACUGGGGCACGCCCCAGACUCCUACGGGAGGCAGCAGUAGGGAAUCUUCCGCAAUGGACGAAAGUCUGACGGAGCAACGCCGCGUGAGUGAUGAAGGCUUUCGGGUCGUAAAACUCUGUUGUUAGGGAAGAACAAGUGCUAGUUGAAUAAGCUGGCACCUUGACGGUACCUAACCAGAAAGCCACGGCUAACUACGUGCCAGCAGCCGCAGUAA